rnacentral:piRNA from 1 species
GCUAGUUAUCUGUCCCAGGUGUGACACUGC